GUGAGGAAUAUUGCGCAAUGGAGGCAACUCUGACGCAGCCAUGCCGCGUGCAGGAAGAAGGCGCUACGCGUUGUAAACUGCUUUUAACCGGGAAGAAACCCCAGGACGUGUCCUGGGUUGACGGUACCGGAGGAAUAAGCACCGGCUAACUUCGUGCCAGCAGCCGCGGUAAUACGAAGGGUGCAAGCGUUAUCCGGAUUCAUUGGGUUUAAAGGGUGCGUAGGCGGAGCGUUAAGUCAGUGGUGAAAUCCUGCAGCUUAACUGUAGACUUGCCAUUGAGACUGGCGCUCUUGAGUGCGCUUGAAGUGGGCGGAAUGUGCCGUGUAGCGGUGAAAUGCUUAGAUAUGGCACAGAACACCAAUUGCGAAGGCAGCUCACUAAGGCGAUACUGACGCUGAGGCACGAAAGCGUGGGGAUCGAACAGGAUUAGAAACCCCAGUAGUCC
rnacentral:rRNA from 1 species